GGCGGCGUAGCUCAGUUGGUUAGAGCAGACGGUUCAUAUCCGUCGUGUCGGGGGUUCGAGUCCCUCCGCCGCUACCA
rnacentral:tRNA from 1 species